AAAAGAGAAGCGGUGUGACGUAAGCUAUAGUGUUAUCUUACCGCUGACACCUGUUUAGCGUGGCGGAGUGGUGGCAGAGGCUUCGAGCACGCACCAGCCGCCACAACACCACUAGCACCCACCCAGGAUACACAAGGUUAUAGGCGCUCCACCUACUAAUGAUGAAGAUGCCAGUGAGGGCGGCGAUGCUGGUGACAGUGGUGUUGGGUGUGGUGCAGGUUGGCUGGUGCUUCGUGCCGACCCACAACCAGCUCACAAAGACCCUGACCCCAACCACGGACUGCAGGGAUAUCAAGUUUACUGACCCUUCGCGGCGCAGCGCAGUGAGGGAGUCGGUACUGCGCGCCAUGUGUACCAAGGCUGCGCCGCACCUUGAUCUCACCGACAAGAUCAAGCAGUUCGCUGUCUUCCUCCUCCAGCGCGAUGACUUCGAUGACCAGGCCAGGUGGCACUCUGGUGAAGCAAAGGACGUGCUAGCCGACCCCUACUGGGUAGUGAACCAGGUCGAGGAACUCCCCACCACGAAGUACCACUGGUAUUCCCACGGUCUGCCAAUGUGGCCCCUCCCCCACCAAGCUCUACCUAACACCACCACCAGCAAGCUUCCCAGCCUCAAGAAGAAGAAGCCCGUCGACUGGCCAAAUUACGGCUUUGCUACGCCCAUCUACUUCGCCUCUAAUGCCUGGAGGAACCAAGCCUGGAGUCUGGAGGAAUUUUUCCAGCAGAAGAGUAAGAAGACGUCUCCCUUCAAGAGCCACAAGGAUUUCCACAAAUUGGCCAAGGAUAUAGUGGCCAACCUUGACGGCUUGAAGGUGGAGAGCUACAGCGAAUGGCCCUUCCUCAAGUAUUCUCUCGUCCCCAUGGUCAAAUCUAUGGUGGAGCGCAACAAGGGUCUCUGCCCUGACGACCUGUACAUCUAUCAUCGCGUCACCCCUUGCCACCCUAGCGAGGCAGCCCACCUGUCCUGUGCACAGGCCGCCCUAGACGCCCGGACCCUGCUGACCCUGGCCGCUUGUCGCACCACCAACGUUAUCGUCGGCUACACCCAGGACUUGGCACCCAGUUGAUGAGUACCCGACGGCCUUGACACACACGUACUGACGCCAUGGUUAGACAUACAGGUACUGACGUCAUAGUUAGACACAUAGAUACUGACGUCAUAGUUAGACAUACAGGUACUGACGUCAGGUCAUGUGGCCCCAGCUUACGUCAGGGUUAUGAAUUUAUUUGUUGUCUUGCACUUCAUAAUUACAGCAACAUUAAAGUUUUUAUUGUUCUGCAUUUAUCUAUUUUAUUCAGCGCUUGAAGAUUUAAUUAUCUUUAUGAUACGGUACUUUUACUGCCUUUGCAAAUUAUACAAUCUUAUUAGGUUACUAGAAGGGUUAUCCAGUGGUGCCUAGGUCUAUCUUUUUGGCUGACCCCCACCCCCACUCUGUCUCUAUAUAUAUAUCUCGCCCCUUUCUCUAUCUCAUAAACUGUAAUAUUAUGAAAAGAGGAAAACUGCUCAAAACCUCUACAGAAAAAUAGAUUCUCUUGUACAGCUAUAGCUUACUUGUACAGCUAUAGCUUACUUGUACAGCUAUAGCUUACUUGUACAGCUAUAGCUUACUUGUACAGGUAUAGCUUACUUGUACAGCUAUAGCUUACUUGUACAGGUAUAGCUUACUUGUACAGCUAUAGCUUACUUGUACAGGUAUGCAGAGAGUAAUUCACAAUAACAUGGUUGUAAAUAAAUAUCCCCAAGCCACGUGUACAUGAAAUGAAGAGAAAGUGACGACGUUUCACCAUGUCAAGGACAAAAACAUCGUCACUCAUUUGAUUUCAUGUAUGGGUUAGGUUAUACAUGUAUGGGUAGUACCAAAAUAUAAUAAUACCGAUUUCUACUUUUCUAAUUGCCUUUUCCGUCAAUAUAUGUGCGAUGGUCCUCAUCGUUAUCAUUACUACCUAUACAGGAGAAUGGGCUGGUAAUACCACUACCAGCCUAUUACUUCUUCCAAAUUAUACAACCUAUUAUCUCAGGACAAUAUUAAAAUUGUUUUCAUAACACAGGAUGUCAUUACGCUUACCACCAACUUUGUUCUUUCAUCCUGUCGUUACAGUAUUUUAACAUUACUGUAAACAGGAAAUUAACUUCUCUGUUAUAUUCUGACACUUGCAUUUAUUUUGUUUCUAUUUGUUAUAAAAUUGCGUUAAACAAAUUUGUCAGAGAGAGAGAGACAGAGAGAGAGAGAGAGAAGGGCGGGGGGUCAACCAAGAAACCUAUGUUAACAGCGGACUCUAAUUUCAUCAUUUAUUACUUUCAGGACUACACAAAUGAUGCUCUGUAGAGAGAGCAAGAUGCCAGACCAACAGGAUUUACGACGCAAGUCAAGGAAUCCGCAUA